UAAAAAUGCUGUUAAACCUAUGAUUCAGACAACCACAAAUAUGUUUGCAUGAAAAACUGCUUUGCUGAAGCCC